GCGGACGUGGCGAAACUGGUAGACGCACGAGACUUAAAAUCUUGCGGCCUUUGGCUGUGCGGGUUCGAGUCCCGCCGUCCGCACCA
rnacentral:tRNA from 1 species